CUGCCCCCUCCUGCAUACGAGGAGGGCUCAGCCUACCAGUAGUCCUCUCCACCCUUCUGCUAGACCCUGUGGAAACUGCCCUGGUGGCCAUGCAAGGGGAGAGGGUGGAGUCUAUACACAGCUGAGUUUAUAAUGAUCCUUUCCUUAUCUUUUCCACAGAGACCCCUCUGCAGUGAGGAACUCCCUUCAAGAAAGGCUCAACCGAGCAGCCAUGACCAAGGACAAAAGAAAAGGCUAUCAGAGAUGCUGUCAAAAUGGGGCAUAUUUGGGACAAACGUGAAUGGGGCAACACAAAUCAAGGAUGUGAUCACUGCUGUAUGAAGCAAGAGGAUGCCAUGUGCAACAUCAACCACAGCAACUGGGAAACAGGAGGCUCACACAACAAUCUAAAGGAAAAGUCCCAAGAUACUUAUUCCUGCUGCCAGAGGAAAGAAGAAAUCAUUGGACAGGUUAUGCUUUAUUCAGGAUAUCAGCAAGAACUGUAGAUAAACUGUCAGAUGCUGCACUGUAGAAAACACAGCAAAAAAGACAUCACAUUUUGUUCAUGCUAGAAGUACAUAGGAAAUCCACUCCACAUCUGGACAACCAAAUUGACUGGAGAUACUCAAGCUUUGAUGAAAAUGUUAAAUUAAAAUUAAAAUGUUGAAAGAAAACACUGGUAAGGCCAAAAAGAACAAGAAAAGAGCCAUUCAAACAGUCAUGGAGAAAUUCAGGCAACUGGUAGGGUUCAUUACUACAGAUCAGCACCAUAUGCAACUUUUUGUUAUGGACACAUUAAGGGAGAAUCAUACCACUGAUUGGAUGGAAAUAAAGGUUAGUGUGAUUUCUCCACUGUUACUACUGCAAUAGAAUUGCUAAAGAAAUAUCCCCUUCCUCUAUGUAAUUGGCUGACUCUAGUAAUGUCUAUGCAAUAGGUUUGUUAGGCUAGUCACCAGUAGCUCUGCAAGUACAAAACCAACUUCUACAUCCUAACAAAAGCUAUUUGGUAGCUUGGUAAACUUACAAAACAUUUCUGUAAAGUCAAAAGAAAACACCACUUUGGGACUAUUAAGCUUUCUUCUGAGAUCCUGAAUUU